UAAAGCACUUUUAUGUAUAGCUUAGUUCUCAGAUAUAAGGCAUAAUGCCCUACAACGUAGCGGUGUCUUAUGAUUGGAACAUCUACUUGAUAGUAAUUCCCAAUCACAAGACACUUUAAUCGCUAUCCCAUAUUUUUUUAGGGAAUGGGACUCUUCACCGAGGUUGUAAAAUGAGACAAACAAUUUUAGCUGUAU
rnacentral:ncRNA from 1 species